GGGUGUGACAAAACCAGCAGAAUGCAUAGGAUCACUUCCGAACUCUGUAGUUUAGCGUUAUUGCGGGAUAGUAGUACUAUGAUGGGUGACCUUCUAGGAAGUCCUCAUUUUGCACCUC
rnacentral:rRNA from 1 species